rnacentral:rRNA from 1 species
ACGCUUGAAGUCAGUCACGUCAGUCAGGGAUCAGCCUCGUAUUUGCGUGGUGUACUUUCUGGUUGACGGGUCAGCAUCAAUUUUGAUUGCUGGAAAAAGGCUAGGGGAAUGUGGCAGCUCCGGCUGUGUUAUAGCCCUUGGUCACAUACAGCGGUUGGGAUUGAGGAACUCAGCACGCCGCAAGGCCGGGUUUCGACCACGUUCGUGCUUAGGAUGCUGGCAUAAUGGCUUUAAGCGACCCGUCUUGAAACACGGACCAAGGAGUC